GGCUUAACACAUGCAAGUCGAGGGGCAUCAGGACGAUAGCUUGCUUUCUUUGCUGGCGACCGGCGCACGGGUGAGUAACACGUAUCCAACCUGCCCUUUACUCGGGGAUAGCCUUUCGAAAGAAAGAUUAAUACCCGAUAGCAUAAUGAUUCCGCAUGGUUUCAUUAUUAAAGGAUUCCGGUAAAGGAUGGGGAUGCGUUCCAUUAGGUUGUUGGUGAGGUAACGGCUCACCAAGCCUUCGAUGGAUAGGGGUUCUGAGAGGAAGGUCCCCCACAUUGGAACUGAGACACGGUCCAAACUCCUACGGGAGGCAGCAGUGAGGAAUAUUGGUCAAUGGGCGCUAGCCUGAACCAGCCAAGUAGCGUGAAGGAUGAAGGCUCUAUGGGUCGUAAACUUCUUUUAUAUAAGAAUAAAGUGCAGUAUGUAUACUGUUUUGUAUGUAUUAUAUGAAUAAGGAUCGGCUAACUCCGUGCCAGCAGCCGCGGUAAUACGGAGGAUCCGAGCGUUAUCCGGAUUUAUUGGGUUUAAAGGGAGCGUAGGUGGACUGGUAAGUCAGUUGUGAAAGUUUGCGGCUCAACCGUAAAAUUGCAGUUGAUACUGCCAGUCUUGAGUACAGUAGAGGUGGGCGGAAUUCGUGGUGUAGCGGUGAAAUGCUUAGAUAUCACGAAGAACUCCGAUUGCGAAGGCAGCUCACUGGACUGCAACUGACACUGAUGCUCGAAAGUGUGGGUAUCAAACAGGAUUAGAUACCCUGGUAGUCCACACAGUAAACGAUGAAUACUCGCUGUUUGCGAUAUACAGUAAGCGGCCAAGCGAAAGCAUUAAGUAUUCCACCUGGGGAGUACGCCGGCAACGGUGAAACUCAAAGGAAUUGACGGGGGCCCGCACAAGCGGAGGAACAUGUGGUUUAAUUCGAUGAUACGCGAGGAACCUUACCCGGGCUUAAAUUGCAGUGGAAUGAUGUGGAAACAUGUCAGUGAGCAAUCACCGCUGUGAAGGUGCUGCAUGGUUGUCGUCAGCUCGUGCCGUGAGGUGUCGGCUUAAGUGCCAUAACGAGCGCAACCCUUAUCUUUAGUUACUAACAGGUCAUGCUGAGGACUCUAGAGAGACUGCCGUCGUAAGAUGUGAGGAAGGUGGGGAUGACGUCAAAUCAGCACGGCCCUUACGUCCGGGGCUACACACGUGUUACAAUGGGGGGUACAGAAGGCAGCUAGCGGGUGACCGUAUGCUAAUCCCAAAAGCCUCUCUCAGUUCGGAUCGAAGUCUGCAACCCGACUUCGUGAAGCUGGAUUCGCUAGUAAUCGCGCAUCAGCCACGGCGCGGUGAAUACGCUCCCGGGCCUUGUACACACCGCCCGUCAAGCCAUGGGAGCCGGGGGUACCUGAAGUACGUAACCGCAAGGAUCGUCCUAGGGUAAAACUGGUGACUG
rnacentral:rRNA from 1 species